rnacentral:lncRNA from 1 species
AUACACGUCUGCACCCCCAGUGGAUCCUCCUACAAUUGAAACAAUGAACAGGAUGCAGAAUAAAAUUGAUCGGCUAGAGACAGAGAAUAGUCGAAUUACCAUAAGGCUGGACGAGUUGCAGACGUUUAUGCAUAGGAUGAUGGCACAACAGGGUAUUGGGACAUCCACUCAGACAUCUGGUCCUACGGCACCUCCAGCUCCGUCUCCACAGCAGCGGC